rnacentral:rRNA from 1 species
UACCAGACUCCUACGGGAGGCAGCAGUGGGGAAUAUUGCACAAUGGGGGAAACCCUGAUGCAGCGACGCCGCGUGAGCGAUGAAGUAUUUCGGUAUGUAAAGCUCUAUCUGCAGGGAAGAAGAUGACGGUACCUGACUAAGAAGCCCCGGCUAACUACGUGCCAGCAGCCGCGGUAAUACGUAGGGGGCAAGCGUUAUCCGGAUUUACUGGGUGUAAAGGGAGCGUAGACGGCGAUGCAAGCCAGAUGUGAAAGCCCGGGGCUCAACCCCGAGACUGCAUUUGGAACUGUGUGGCUGGAGUGUCGGAGAGGCAGGCGGAAUUCCUGGUGUAGCGGUGAAAUGCGUAGAUAUCAGGAGGAACACCGGCGGCGAAGGCGGCCUGCUGGACCGCGACUGACGUUGAGGCUCGAAAGCGUGGGGAGCGAACAGGAUUAGAUACCCGAGUA